rnacentral:rRNA from 1 species
UACAGAGGGUGCGAGCGUUAAUCGGAAUUACUGGGCGUAAAGCGCACGUAGGUGGCGACGUAAGUCGGGUGUGAAAGCCCCGGGCUCAACCUGGGAAUUGCAUUCGAGACUGCAUUGCUGGAGUACGGAAGAGGAAGGCGGAAUUCCCGGUGUAGCGGUGAAAUGCGUAGAUAUCUGGAGGAACACCGGUGGCGAAGGCGGCAUCCUGGACCGAGAUUGACGCUGAGGCGCGAAAGCCAGGGGAGCAAACGGG